rnacentral:rRNA from 1 species
CGCGAAACCUUUACAAUGCACGAAAGUGUGAUAAAGGGCAACACCUAGGGUGACGUUAUCCAAAAGAUAGGCUUUUUAGUAUGUAAUGUAUACUAAGAAUAAGUGAUGGGCAAGACCGGUGCCAGCAGCCGCGGUAAUACCGGCGUCACAAGUGGAGAUCACGAUUACUGGGUCUAAAGUGUUCGUAGCUGGUCAUAUAAGUCUCUUGUGAAAGUUCUGUAGCUUAACUCAGAAUUGCAAGAGAUACUGUAUGACUUGAGACCGGAAGAGGUGUAAAGUAUGGAUUGGGUAGCGGUAAAAUGCUAUAAUCCUUUUCAGACUAA